rnacentral:sRNA from 1 species
AUUUUUCUCUAUAAUUUGAUAUGCAUUUUGCUAAUAAUUUUAAAUAUAUUACAUAGACAUUUUUAUCAAUAGUCAAUUAAUUAUAUGUACACACUUUUAUUUGUACAGCAUAAUAAAUAUUCAUAUUUAUAACAAAUUUAUACAAUUCAAUUUAUUAUUUAACAACAUAUCUCAAUUUUUUUAUAUAAUACAUAUAUUUGUAUAUUUUUUACUAUUUGAUUCGUACACUUAGUUUUGUACAACAUUUUUAGUGUACAAAUAAAUAAAUGUACACAGCGUACACUUACAUCUGUACACUAAAAGUGUUGUACAAAUUUAAGUGUACGAAUCAAACUAUGAAAAGUCACUACUUUGCAAAUCGUGAAUACCCGAUACAUGUUUGUACGUGUUUAUUGUUAGACGAUUUUAUUUUGUACGUUGCAUUAGUUAGACAUAAAAUACAAUAUGUAUGUCUGAAAAUAUUUAUUUGCUUGACGGUUUUAAUUUGUAAUUUUCACCUAAGCUACAUGGAAUCGUAAGCGGAUAUUCGGAAGCAUUUGGAAGCGGAGAAACGAGUUUUUCUAAAAAAAUUAGGAUGCAUGUAUAUAUUGGAAGUAUGUGUAUAAAUUAUAU